CUGUAUAAAUAGAUUGUAGGUGAGUGCGUUCCUCAGUGGUUAUUCAGGGAUGCUAUGGAGAGAAUGGCUCCUUAAAGGCAGUGUCACAGUGUGCUAUUGAGACAUUCAGAGCCUGGUUGGUGCAUUCUUCACUUGGCUAUAUAAACAGAACACACGUGAGUCCAACUCUUAGUGGUUACUGGUGGAUGCCUGGAGAAGAAUGCUUUACUGAACGCAGAAGAGCACACACUGUUCCAGCUGGAGGAGGGGAUAGAAGCCUUGGAAGCUGCGAUUGAAGGCAGAAGGUUCUGAAAGACUCUUCUCAGAUUCUCACCCAAAAUGAAGCCGACAUCAUUGAAAAGUUCAGCUCUCUCUCGCCUUCAGAAACCAGAUCCAUCCUUGUCCGAUACUUCAACAAGGUUGUGAGUCUUCGUGAAGCAGAACGGAAACUACAGCUGCAUUCAGCCGAACUGGCCAUGAAAGUGACAGAGAAAGGGAACAUGCUACAAGAGCUAGAAUCCUCCCUGGAACAUCUCAUGCUUCAGAAUGAUCGAAGUUUGACCCAACAGCAGAAGGAGCACAAGCAAAAGCUACAGCUCCUCUUACAGCACUUUAAAGGACAAUGAAAGGUUAAUAUAAAUUAAAAAUAACGGCAAUGAAGCUGUUCCAGAAAUCAUCAAGGCUUAUGAAGCAAAGGUGGCAGAGCUGGAGAAGGAGCUGUUCUUUUAUAAGAAAACCAGCUGGGAGCUGAAAAAGAAGCUAAAAGAGUGGUGGUUUUGAAAAGCAAUAAUACGGCAGAUGCCGCCAGAGUCCUGGAUGAACCGGGUUGCCUGGCAGCCAAAGAAUUGAAGUGGAACCCCCAUCUUGAAAGCAACAAAGCUGCUGGAAAAGGAAGAGAGUCUCAACAUCCUGACCUUUAGCGCAAUCCUUACAGAGCUGCAGGUGAUAUUCCCGAAGGUGACCCUAUCACCGGCUUCCCUCUAAAAGCCAUAUCUCCAGAAGAGCCAGCUCAGAAAGGAGGAGCCGGGAAAUAUUCCCACCCAGUCCAUAUCAAAGAUGGAACCAAGCAAAACUCUGUGUCACUCCAGUGAAAAUAUCCCCUAGGGAACUGCGUCCGAUAUUUGCAUCCUACCUAUCAACCCGCCCCUUCAGCUUCACCAGCACCCCCGCUGACUAAAUUGAAGUAGCAAGGACUGGCAAAGACUUUAAAGUUCAUUAAGAUUUCAUUACUGAUAAGACUGGCAUUUACAGAUGUUUAAAUAUAUAUAAUCUGUAUCCAGAUUAACAAACCACUUGAACACUAGGGACUUGCUAUGUGCUACCUACUAACUGUUUCCAAGACUCUGACUUCUGUACUGCACAUUUAAAGAACUAACAGACUAGCGUUGCCUUGAUAUUUAAUAUCCAUGGUAAAAACAGGCCCUGAAAUCACUGUAUACUUAAAUUCCCACCCCCAUACAUUUCCCGUUGGUCUUAGAGGAGAAAACUGAUGAUUUUAAAGGAACAGUAACACCAAUAAAAAGGAAAGUAAUUACAGUA